CCUACGGGCGGCAGCAGUGAGGAAUAUUGGUCAAUGGACGAGAGUCUGAACCAGCCAAGUAGCGUGAAGGAUGACUGCCCUAUGGGUUGUAAACUUCUUUUAUAUGGGAAUAAAACGUUCCACGUGUGGGAUUUUGUAUGUACCAUAUGAAUAAGGAUCGGCUAACUCCGUGCCAGCAGCCGCGGUAAUACGGAGGAUCCGAGCGUUAUCCGGAUUUAUUGGGUUUAAAGGGAGCGUAGGUGGAUUGUUAAGUCAGUUGUGAAAGUUUGCGGCUCAACCGUAAAAUUGCAGUUGAAACUGGCAGUCUUGAGUACAGUAGAGGUGGGCGGAAUUCGUGGUGUAGCGGUGAAAUGCUUAGAUAUCACGAAGAACUCCGAUUGCGAAGGCAGUUCACUGGACUGCAACUGACACUGAGGCUCGAAAGUGUGGGUAUCAAACAUGAUUAGAUACCCUUGUAGUC
rnacentral:rRNA from 1 species